UGCCCUAGUAACGGCGAGUGAAGCGGCAACAGCUCAAAUUUGAAAUCUGGCUCUUUCAGAGUCCGAGUUGUAAUUUGCAGAGGGCGCUUUGGCAUUGGCAGCGGUCCAAGUUCCUUGGAACAGGACGUCACAGAGGGUGAGAAUCCCGUACGUGGUCGCUAGCCUUUACCGUGUAAAGCCCCUUCGACGAGUCGAGUUGUUUGGGAAUGCAGCUCUAAAUGGGAGGUAAAUUUCUUCUAAAGCUAAAUACUGGCCAGAGACCGAUAGCGCACAAGUAGAGUGAUCGAAAGAUGAAAAGCACUUUGGAAAGAGAGUCAAAUAGCACGUGAAAUUGUUGAAAGGGAAGCGCUUGCAGCCAGACUUGCCUGUAGUUGCUUAUCCGGACUUUUGUCCGGUGCACUCUUCUGCGGGCAGGCCAGCAUCAGUUUGGGCGGUUAGAUAAAGGUCUCUGUCAUGUACCUCCUUUCGGGGAGGCCUUAUAGGGGAGACGACAUGUAACCAGCCUGGACUGAGGUCCGCGCAUCUGCUAGGAUGCUGGCGUAAUGGCUGUAAGCGGCCCGUCUUGAAACACGGACCAAGGAGUCUAACAUCUAUGCGAGUGUUUGGGUGUCAAGCCCAGACGCGUAAUGAAAGUGAACGGAGGUGGGAACCUUUUAGGUGCACCAUCGACCGAUCCUGAUGUCUUCGGAAGGAUUUGAGUAAGAGCAUGGCUGUUGGGACCCGAAAGAUGGUGAACUAUGCUUGAAUAGGGUGAAGCCAGAGGAAACUCUGGUGGAGGCUCGCAGCGGUUCUGACGUGCAAAUCGAUCGUCAAAUUUGGGCAUAGGGGCGAAAGACUAA
rnacentral:rRNA from 1 species